rnacentral:tRNA from 1 species
CCGAGGGUGUCAUAAGAUCCGCUAACUCCUCAUCCCGGGAANUAACCACAAGCCCCUC